ACUACUCCCUCUACUUCGCCCGAUUCUUGUGUAGGUGCUUUGCUCUUUUAGUCAGUUUUCCUGGUACCAAUUUCUUCUCUCCUCACUCUUUCUAAAUCGGUUUUGUUAGGGGAUUAGUAUCAAAUUUUGAAUUUCAGAUCUAUGCUGAAUUGCUCCUUAGGCGUUUUGGAGUUUGGGUAAGUGUUCCUCUUUUAUUAGUUAAGGUUGGC
rnacentral:lncRNA from 1 species